rnacentral:lncRNA from 1 species
UUCCUUACACUCAAGGACAAAUACUUGAAAGAAAUCUACCGGUGAGAACUAUUGUCAAACACCUUGAAGGAAAUCUAAGAACCGCUAAUGUACAAAUGCAAAAUCGUCGAGAAUUGGAUUCCGUGAGUUGUUUUGAUGGAGCCAGUAGUUCAAAUCAUUCGCCAGCAUAGUCCACAUUGGAUUCCACCCACCGGCUACUCAUUGACGAGCUCUUCUCUCAGGUACUAAUCGAUUUCUGCCCUCUCUAGGGUUUCAAUUUUCAGCAUAUCACCUCAUUUAUUGGAAUUUUCUUUAUUCAAUCGAUAGGCUGAAGCACAAGAGGCGAUAAUUUGAGACGUCUCGAUUCUGUGUGAUUUAGCAGAAGUUUUGUGUAGUGCCCAAGAGGGCGGAAAUGAAAGACAGUGAGACAGAGAGUUCAGGAGGAAAGCUAGGAAAG